CAGCAGAUUACAGCCCCUCUUCACUCACUUCUGUCUAACACACAAAUACACCGGUCCCAGAGAGGAGAAACUACCAAGGGAGAUGUCGGUAAAAGUACACAUAGAAUAUUGUGGAGGAUGAGGGUACCGGUCUCGCUUCCAGGACCUGGCAUCUGCCAUCAAGCAGAACGUUCCUGACGCAACAGUGACCGGAACCCAGGGGCGGCGUACAAGUUUUGAGGUGACUGUGAACAGUACACUUGCCUUCUCUAAACUGGAGAUGGGAGGAUUCCCGAACACGAAGGAGAUGGUGGCAAUGGUGAGGGAGGUGAGCCAGGGAGGAACAGUGGAGAAAGUGAAGAAGGAUAAUAAGUGCCUUCUCCAGUAGUUGAGCCAAGACCGUAGUGAAGGAUUGAGUUCUUAGAUGGGCUUAAGUCUGUUUUAGCAUGGACAUUGCCAUUGAGAGCAUCUGUGAGUUCUAUUAAAAGUAAUGUCAAAUCGGCCAUCAUUCCAAAUCCAUAUGCUCUACGCUUGCUUAGAGUGCCCUCCUUGGGUGGCUAGGGGUUUCAGAAAUGUCAUAUUCAGAAAGGAUCAGCCAGUUAUCUUGGAUGUCCCACCCAGUUGACUAGGGUAAAAAAAAAUGUGCAGAAGCCUUAAACAGCAAUGUCCAUGUUUUAACUAUCUCCAUAAUGGGAAAUGUAUAGGGACGCAUCCUCACAUCUUAUCUCCGGUGGAGGAAGAGGAGAGCGUUUUCUCAGAUGAUGGGCUUCAUCUGAUUGUAUUAAUGAUUGAUCACAUUGAAACUAGGGGAUGUGAAACAUGAUGAAAACUACAGUCAUUUCAACAGUCUGUGAUCUGAGGAAAAUACUCUCACCCCGUUGGUCUGUUUGGUUUAUACUGUGUUCUUUUGUCUGCUUUAUUUUGUUAAAAUACGAUAUAUUAGACAGUCCUGAAAUUUAGAUUUUCAUUCUUGAAUAUAUAUUUUUAGUUAAUAAACUCCAAAUGUUUGGCCUGAAUGUAUAAUUGUAAAUUAUCAAAUAAAUGCAAUCAUUAAAUUGGUAA